ensembl:lncRNA
AAUCCUUUGCAGGCAAUGACUGCUUGAAGUGUGGAAAGCAUGUGUUGGGUUUCCUCUUUUGUGAUGCUUUGCCAGGCCUUUUCUUCAGCUAUUGUUGGUUCGUGGGUCUUUCUGCCUUGUCUUCAGCAAGUGAAAUACAUGCAGAGUUGAGAUUGGGUGACUGACUCAGCCAUUGCAGAAUAUUACAAUUAUUUGCCUUAAAACACUCCUGGGUUGCUUUCGCACUAUGUUUUGGGUCAUUGUCCAUCUGUGAAGUGAAGCGCCGUCCAAUCAACUUCGCUAUCCAUAUACAUACAGCUGCUUCUGUUUUCUGUCACAUCAUCAAUAAACACUAGUGACCCAGGGCCAUUGGAAGCCAUGUAUGCCCAUGCCAUUACGCUGCCUCCAGUGUGUUUUACAGAUCAUGUGGUAUGCUUCGGAUCAUGAGCCGUUCCAAGCCUUCUCUGCACUCUUUUCUUCCCAUCAUUCUGGUACAGGUUGAUCUUAGUUUUAUCUGUCCAGAGAAUACUGUUCCAGAACUGGAUUUUUUAGAUGUUUUUUGGCAAGUCUAAUCUGGCCUUUCUAUUAUUGAGGCUUAUGAAUGGUUUCCACCUUGUGGUGAACCCUCUGUAUUUGCUGUCGUGAAGUCUUCUCUUUAUGGUAGACUCAGAUAAUGAUAUGGCUACAAGAAUGAUGGGAAGGAAAAAGUAUGGAGAAUGCUUGGCUUGGAACGGCUCAUGAUCCGAAGAAUACCACAUCAUCUGGAUCUUGUAAAGGGGUUUUUCUUUACCAUGGAAAGGAUCCUCCAAUCAUCCACCACUGUGGUCUUCUGUGGACGUCCAGGCCUUUUGGUGCUGCAGAGCUCACCUGCGGUUGUUUUUCUCAAAAUGUCCCAAACUGUUUUGGCCACUCCCAAUGUUCCUGUUAUCUCUCUGAAUAAUUAUUUUUGCACGCUCUGGAUGGCCUCUUUCAUUUGCAUUGAGAGCUCGUUUGACCGCAUGUUAUGGGUCUAACGCAACUGCUUCCAAAUGCAAAUGCCACACCUGGAAUCAACUCCAGAACUUUUACUUGCUUAAAUGAUGAAGAAAUAACUAAGGAAUAGCCCACACCUGUCCAUGAAACAGCUUUGGAGUCAUCUGUCCAAUUACUUUUGGUCCCUUGAAAAAAGGGGGGCUACAUAUUAAAGAGUUGUAAUUCCUAAACUAUUCCUCCAAUUUAGAUGUGAACACCGUCAAAUUAAAGCUGAGAGACUGCACUUCAAGGCCAUAUUCAUUAUUUAACUGUAAGUUGAAUAUAUUUUGGUAAACAGCUAAAAGAAAAACACUUGUGCCAGUGUCCAAUUAUAACCCAACUGUAUUGCUCUCAACUUACAUAGCGUAGUUCACAUAGCAUAAUGGUUAGCUAACUGUCAUUGUUUUCCUGUUGUUGGUUUGGAUAUUAGCUAAUGUAGGAAACUAGUUUCAAGAUCUGUCACAUUUCGACUAAUUAGUUUAAUGCAGAAUUAAACGAACACCACACCUGCACACAUGUAUCAUAUGCAACAAAACCCACUGUUUAAAUAGCGUAGUGGUUAAAGACACCGUCUGUCACAUUGAGCAAAGGCAACAACAUUCAUACCCUCGAAUCGCAGGCCGGCUGAACUAGACUUGUCUGGUUGCUUUUCUUGUUUCUUAUAGCAUUUGAUAACGAAUACUAACUCAGAAUUAUCAUCAGAUCGCACAUUCUCGUAAAGCUCUAGUAAUUGUUAAUUCACUAAAUGGCUUUGUAAUCAAUCGAUUAGAGCUGAGAUUUACAGAAACAGAUAUUGCCUCUCUUAAGUAGCAGAAAGCUGUUUGUUCAAACAUCCUAUCUGUUAUGGGAUACUAAAGAUUAAAGUGCUGCCAUUAUUCUAUACAUUUAAAUGCUCUUUACCAUCACACUGUUUAUGUUCAAAUUCUUUAAAUUGUACUAUACAAUGUUGUUACAGGAUUGUAUACUGGUUCCUUUGUGUGAAGCUGUGGGAAAUUAGAGUUAAGAGCAUGAUUAGACGCUGUACAUUCUUGCUCUAACAUGCAGAGCUACAGUAUAAAGUUCAGUCAAUACCUGAGGCAGGUUACUUCUUCC